rnacentral:rRNA from 1 species
UACGUAGGGUGCGAGCGUUAAUCGGAAUUACUGGGCGUAAAGCGUGCGCAGGCUGUUCUGUAAGUCAGAUGUGAAAUCCCCGAGCUCAACUUGGGAACUGCGUUUGAAACUACAGGACUAGAAUAUGUCAGAGGGGGGUAGAAUUCCACGUGUAGCAGUGAAAUGCGUAGAGAUGUGGAGGAAUACCAAUGGCGAAGGCAGCCCCCCUGGGAUAAUAUUGACGCUCAUGCACGAAAGCGUGGGGAGCAAACGAGG